UACGGAGGGUGCAAGCGUUGUCCGGAAUCACUGGGCGUAAAGGGCGCGUAGGCGGCCUGGUAAGUAGGGGGUGAAAUCCUGCGGCUUAACCGCAGGGCUGCCUUCUAAACUGUCAGGCUUGAGCACGGUAGAGGCAGAUGGAAUUCCCGGUGUAGCGGUGGAAUGCGUAGAGAUCGGGAAGAACAUCAGUGGCGAAGGCGGUCUGCUGGGCCGUUGCUGACGCUGAGGCGCGAAAGCGUGGGGAGCAAACAGG
rnacentral:rRNA from 1 species